GUGAGGUUUGGGGAGGGUAAGAUGUACGCAGUCCAUACCUCUACCUCUACAACAACAACAACAACAACAAACCCAGUGUAUUCCCACAAAGUGGGGUCUGGGGAGGGUAAGAUGUACGCAGUCCAUACCGCUACCUCCGAAGAAGUAGAGAGGUUGUUUCCGAUAGACCCCCGGCUCAAGAUAAAGACUAAUAAACAAGGAGGAUAGAUGACACAACGGAAAAAACAGGAAUAACAAAUAAUAGAAAUGAAACCAGAGAAAAAACAAAAAUACGAGAAAUAAAUGCAACACUAAAUAAGAAAAUAGGAACGAAGAAAUAAGAAAUAGGCCCUCCACCUAGUAAUAACAUAUCCUCACAUACCAACGACACCUACGUACACAGUCCUAAGGUUACGAACCCGGCUACACAAGAUCUCUCCUGACUGCCUGCUACAACCCACACACUCACACUAGCCUUCUACCCUUAUCCGCGACCUCCACACCUUCCUAUCUAGGGUCAUGUCCUCCGUAAGCUGAAGCUGCUCCAUGUCAUGCCUAAUCACCUCCCUCUAGUACUUCUUCGACCUACCUCUACUCCUCUUGAAACCAUCCAAAGCUAGCUUUUCAUACCUACGAACUAGGGCAUCCGCGCUCCUCCUCAUCACAUGCGCAAACCAUGUCAUACCUCUACCUCUAAAGAAGUAGAAAACUAAACUAAAAAUAAAAUAAUUAAAUUAAAAUAUGAAAUUACAAAAAUGCCCUCAACCAAAAGCAGGCAGCUGGAAAUAGGCAUGACAAAUGCCAGCUACUUGCUUCAACUGUCUGCUACUCACGCUUAUUUUUAUCGGAAGCAACCUCUCUACUUCAUCUGAGGUAGUGGUAUGGAUUGUGUACACUUUAUCCUCCUCAGACCCCACUUUGUAAAUGUCACAUACGGAUUCUGACACUGACGGGGAAGAAGGGAAAGGAACUAGGGAAGAGAAUUGGGUUCAUUAUGGGAGAUGGGAUAAGUUUUUGAGUGAAAAGAUAAAAUUGUCCGUUUGGUUUAAAUGUUUUAUUGUGAUAUUGAGGACAUUUAUGGAAAUUGAAAAAUGGGG
rnacentral:lncRNA from 1 species